rnacentral:rRNA from 1 species
UACGUAGGGACCAAGCGUUGUUCGGAUUUACUGGGCGUAAAGGGCGCGUAGGCGGUUUGUCAAGUCAGUUGUGAAAUCUCCGAGCUUAACUCGGAACGGUCAACUGAUACUGUCAAACUAGAGUACAGAAGGGGCAAUCGGAAUUCUUGGUGUAGCGGUGAAAUGCGUAGAUAUCAGGAGGAACACCGAUAGCGAAGGCAGCUCGCUGGGACGGUACUGACGCUGAGGCGCGAAAGCGUGGGGAGCGAACAGG